rnacentral:rRNA from 1 species
CUUGCUUCUCUUGAGAGCGGCGGACGGGUGAGUAAUGCCUAGGAAUCUGCCUGGUAGUGGGGGAUAACGUUCGGAAACGGACGCUAAUACCGCAUACGUCCUACGGGAGAAAGCAGGGGACCUUCGGGCCUUGCGCUAUCAGAUGAGCCUAGGUCGGAUUAGCUAGUUGGUGGGGUAAUGGCUCACCAAGGCGACGAUCCGUAACUGGUCUGAGAGGAUGAUCAGUCACACUGGAACUGAGACACGGUCCAGACUCCUACGGGAGGCAGCAGUGGGGAAUAUUGGACAAUGGGCGAAAGCCUGAUCCAGCCAUGCCGCGUGUGUGAAGAAGGUCUUCGGAUUGUAAAGCACUUUAAGUUGGGAGGAAGGGUUGUAGAUUAAUACUCUGCAAUUUUGACGUUACCGACAGAAUAAGCACCGGCUAACUCUGUGCCAGCAGCCGCGGUAAUACAGAGGGUGCAAGCGUUAAUCGGAAUUACUGGGCGUAAAGCGCGCGUAGGUGGUUUGUUAAGUUGGAUGUGAAAUCCCCGGGCUCAACCUGGGAACUGCAUUCAAAACUGACUGACUAGAGUAUGGUAGAGGGUGGUGGAAUUUCCUGUGUAGCGGUGAAAUGCGUAGAUAUAGGAAGGAACACCCAGUGGCGAAGCGACCACCUGGACUAAUACUGACACUGAGGUGCGAAAGCGUGGGAGCAACAGGAUUAGAUACCCUGGUAGUCCACGCCGUAACGAUGU